GUCUACGGCCACACCACCCUGAAUGCGCCGGAUCUCGUCUGAUCUCGGAAGCUAAGCAGGGUCGGGCCUGGUUAGUACUUAGAUGGGAGAUUCUCAAGAACAUUGUAGGCA
rnacentral:rRNA from 1 species